CUUGAUCGAGCCGAUCCGCAGGGGACGGUUCACCGGACGGUCUCCGUACGCGGCGAUCAGGGCCUGUGCCUC
rnacentral:antisense_RNA from 3 species